rnacentral:rRNA from 1 species
UACGAAGGGGGCUAGCGUUGUUCGGAUUUACUGGGCGUGAAGCGCACGUAGGCGGAUAGGUAAGUUAGGGGUGAAAUCCCGGGGCUCAACUCCGGAACUGCCUUUAAUACUGCCGAUCUCGAGUCCGGAAGAGGUGAGUGGAACUCCUAGUGUAGAGGUGGAAUUCGUAGAUAUUAGGAAGAACGCCAGUGGCGAAGGCGGCUCACUGGUCCGGUACUGACGCUGAGGUGCGAAAGCGUGGGGAGCAAACAGG